rnacentral:rRNA from 1 species
CUUGCCUUAUAUAAGAGGUCUAGCCUGCCCAGUGACAUUGUUCAACGGCCGCGGUAUCCUAACCGUGCGAAGGUAGCGUAAUCACUUGUUCUUUAAAUGAGGACUAGUAUGAAAGGCAUCACGAGAGUCAUACUGUCUCCUCUCUCUAAUCAGUGAAACUAAUCCCCCCGUGAAGAAGCGGGGAUAAAAAUAUAAGACGAGAAGACCCUAUGGAGCUUUAAACAAAUAGUAUAUGCCCUUUUAACUUUAAAUUUCAGAAAAAUCUCUUAUUUUGGUAUAAUAACUUAUAGUUUUUGGUUGGGGUGACCACGGAAUAAAAAACAACUUCCGCAAUGAAAGAUUCCCUUUCACUAAGCUAAGGACUACAGCCCUAUUCAUCAAUAAAUUGACAUAAUUGACCCAACAUGUUGAUCAAUGAAC